GCCUGACUCAGAGUCGCUGUAAUGAAUGCUCGGGAAGUUAUGGAGAGAAAGGAGACGAUCCCAGUGAUUAAUGCCAAAGCCCUGUUGCCUGGGGAGAGGGUGAUGUUUGACUUUCUUGUACAGCUGCAGUUUGUGUGGUGAAGGUGCUCCCACAAUGUGGUUGGAUCCCAGUGAUUAAUGCCAAAGCCCCAUUGCCUGUGGAGAGGGUGAUGUUUGACUUCCUUGUACAGCUGCAGUUUGUGUGGUGAAGGUGCUCCCACAAUGUGG